AACUGCGAGUAAAGCCCGGUGACAUUGCCGCAGGAAAAAAUAAAAAAUUGCCUCCAAUGAUGUCCUUUCCGAUUCCCGUUUCGUGUAAUUUUUUCACCAUUAUAAUCACUAUUCCUUUUUCUACGAUUUGACUAAAGCAAAACACCCAACCGCAAAGGUGAAUCGGUGGAGCCACCGCACUAUAGAUCUCCGCCGCCAUUAAGCUUCGGUAUUUUGAUUUUUUCGGUCAAUUGAGGCCCCUUAACGUAUUUUCUCACAGGG
rnacentral:lncRNA from 1 species